rnacentral:misc_RNA from 1 species
GCAAAAUACAUGAUCAUGACUGACCACGUGCCCACACCAGCUUCCAUAUCCAAGAGACCAAGCAACACUUCAUAGGCCAUGCCAUCGACACAUCCGCAUUGACAACAUGGACCACAAAGACAGCUUCAAGGUUCGUAGGCACCGCAAGCGAUGCUUAACGAAAGCAAACUUUGUUGAAACAGCAUAAUGCCAUCAAUUAGGUAUGCAACACAGGAACCCACAAUGUUCAAGGCAAAUUCGCCUUGUAACACAACUGAAGAGGUAAGAACGCAUGGAAGUUGCUGCUCAAGCAGACAUCCAACCACCCGUUACAAACCAAACACCACUCAUGCACCUUUAGGGUAGACAUCCCCGAAGAUCAUCAAACUAACAGCCACCCACUUGGCACAAGGCCAUGCAAG